AUACAUCCAUUUUUCAUACAAAACUUAAAAAAAUCCAUAAGAAUCCAAAACCGAUGACGAAGCUCUUUGGAGAAAAUGAAAAGAUAUUGCGUUCCAAAAUUAGUUCAAAAUUAACAAUAUGAGAUUUUAUAUGUAAAUAAUGAUUUUCAUUUCAUGCUUUCAUCAAAGAGCUUGCACACCACCCUUAAGUGGAAUUUUGUAAGUUUUCUUUUCCUCCAAUUUUUUUAUAUACGUCUUACUUUUUAAUUAGACCAUGGGUAUGAUGGGGCUUGGGUUGGGGCAUUUGUUGAUACGUGGAAUGGGACCCCCCCCCCCCCCACUCAAACCCACGCCCAUGGGGUAUGGUGGGGCUUGGGUUAGGGGCAUGAUUUUGGCUUGGCCAUUGAGAGCCUGCCAUGUCAUUUACUACCCCGCCCCACGCCCGGCUUCAAACCCACGCCAAUGGGGCCACGCCCCAAACCCAUGCCCCAACCCAAGCCCCCGGGGUGGUGGCUUGGGCGUUUUUCAGCCAACCCACGCCCCAACCCAAGCCCCAUACCCCAUGGCCUUAACUACUAACUAUUUAGUUUAAUUUGUUUAGAAAUCAUUUAAAUCGUUUUAUUUUGUUUGCCUGGUGUUUUAUUACUGAGAUUUGUAACUUAGAUGUUUGAUUAAAUCUAUUAUCUAUUAUAUAUAAUAAAUGUGUUAAUUUUUGCUGAUGUGUCAAGCUAGGAGGCCUCUAAUUUUUGCUUUUUGGCGGGAAAAUCCCGUCUGCUUUUUUCCUUAAUUUUGAAGCCCCGAAUUAGUCUACCCGACCCACUAAAUCGGAUCCUAUAAUACCCUUCUUUUUUCUCAUUCCGCUUCUCACUGUUCAUAUUGUUUAUCUGAAACCCUAACUACACUCCCUUUCUCUGAAACCCUAACUACAGCCGCCUUCAACAAUCUUCGUAUCAUCAUCAUCAUCAUCAUCAUCAUCGUUCAAUCCCAGAUUUUCAUCAUCCUUUUUUAAACCCUAUCUGUCAACACCGUCUUUUUCAUCUUCUUGUGAGGUUUUUUCUACACAGAUCUAAAACGCAGGUUUAAUUCGAUCCAAGGCAGCACAAUGGAGUGGUAUCUUCGAUUAGGGUUAUUAGUGGCCGGAAUUAGGUUAAGGAUGCGACUUUUGGCCAGAAUCCUCUUCAGCAUCAAGUCAAUAUAGUUAUGCUAUUGUUAAGGAAAAUAUGGUAUCCACUCAAUCACCAGAUGCCAAAAUCAUCAAAGAAGGGCUGUAAUUAGGGCUCGACUGGGUUUAUUCCGCUUAAGAACACGGAUAAGAACAACGUCACGGCUUCACCUGGUACCGGUAUACAGGUUUUAUUUUAUUUGUAUUUAGUUUAAUGUUUUGUUCAAAAUGAAUCAGAAGAGGAGUUUAACUGAAAUUAUUUUUUCCUUUAGCUGGAGUAUAGGUUUGCUAAGAUGCCUCUUACACCGUCCCCAUCUGGUAUAUUGUUAAUUUUGAUAACUUGGUUUUAUAAUUUAUAUUUUCAAUUUGUUUGAGUUAAUUGAUUAUUUUUAAAGUAUAUACGGGUUUACAUCAGUGUCCUCAUGAUCGAUCAUUCACUAUGGAGAAAUUUUGAAGAGCUAUGAAAAUUAAAGGCUCAAGACAUAAAGUCUGAGCCUGUGUACGCUCGAGGCAAGCUAAGCGUACAUCCAUUCCAGGCUUUUUUAGUUGUUUUAGACUAGAUUUUGGCUGGUUAAAUUGUUUAGAGUAGUUUACGCAGGUUAGGUUGGUUCAAACUUCUUAUGAUUGAGUUUAUUCCUUAAUCGGGCCAUUGCAAUUGAGUAAUAUAUAUGCUCAGUACCAAUUGAAGUUGGGCCCAUGUGCGUACAAGUUCCAGUUUUUUGCAAUUACUUAAUAAGUGAAUUAGUCCAACAGGUUAAUGAUUAACACCAAUAUGCUCAUCUUGAACCUGCAAAUACAAAAUGUUCUUUUGUUAGACGAAGUGACAGUUGACCUCGAUGUAGUUGCAAGGAUGGAUUUACUCGAGUUCUUCAAGGAGGAAUGUGAUUAUGUGAGCAGCCAAGAAAGGUUUGGUAGUACUUUUAUUUAUUAAUAUUGUUGCUCAAAGGGCUAAAGACGUCAUUAAAAUGGUCACAAGACUGGGAUACAACAAGUUUCCAAUGAAGAAUUUAAUAAUCAGGUGAAGAUGUUAAUGUGUGUAUAACAUCCGCAUUUGGUGGUCAUGCUUGGAUUCUACAUAGAGCUAAACUGCAGCGUUUUUGAGUAUAUUCAUCAAAUCUCCUGUAAAUUCUAUGAACUGAGAAGGCGGAACCGAGUAGGAAUUGGGUGAUAAGAGUUCAAGAGGUUUGGAUGAUCUGAUUCCUAGAUUUUGAAGUAGUAUUUCUGUGUCCAGUAGCAGGUUUAUAAUCACAUUGGGGUUCUUCAUGCACACCAUGUGUUUGGUAAUUUGCUUAACUGAAUAUCAAAUCACAUAUUAAAAGGAACUAGAUGUUCCUUCAACAACCGGGAAUGCUUCAGAAACGAAAACCGUGGAAGUGAGUAAUGUCUCAAUUACGGUCACUGAGAAGGAUAUCCGGGAAUUCUUCUCAUUUUCGGGAAAUAUCAAUUAUAUUGAAAUGAAAAGUGAAAGUGAAACCACCCAACGCGCGUUUGUCACCUUCAAGGAAUCAAAGGGAGCACAUACAAUACUUCUUUUGACAGUAAGUUAACUUUUAAGUUUUAUCUCAUAGUCACAGGAAACGCUAGCCUACC
rnacentral:lncRNA from 1 species